AGCAAGAUCAGCUAAAUUAAGCUCUUGGGCUCAUACCCCAAUAAUAUGCGGUGAAACCCCCAUUCGUGCUA
rnacentral:tRNA from 1 species